CCUACGGGUGGCAGCAGUGGGGAAUAUUGGGCAAUGGAGGAAACUCUGACCCAGCAAUGCCGCGUGAAUGAAGAAGGUCUUCGGAUUGUAAAGUUCUUUAGUCAGGGAAGAAUAAAAUGACGGUACCUGAAGAAUAAGCUCCGGCUAACUACGUGCCAGCAGCCGCGGUAAUACGGAGGAUGCGAGCGUUAUCCGGAUUUAUUGGGUUUAAAGGGUGCGUAGGCGGAAGGUUAAGUCAGCGGUCAAAUGUCGGUGCUCAACACCGGCCUGCCGUUGAAACUGGUCUUCUUGAGUGAGCGAGAAGUAUGCGGAAUGCGUGGUGUAGCGGUGAAAUGCAUAGAUAUCACGCAGAACUCCGAUUGCGAAGGCAGCAUACCGGCGCUCAACUGACGCUGAGGCACGAAAGCGUGGGGAUCGAACAGGAUUAGAUACCCCUGUAGUC
rnacentral:rRNA from 1 species